UUGCAUCUAUUUAAGGCAUUUUGUAUCUCUUUAUGGUUAUUUUGCAUCUCUUUAUGGUUAUUUUGCAUCAUUUUGUGGUCAUUUGGCAUCUCUUUCUGUGACAUUUUGCAGGUGAAGCCCAGGGGGGGACCCAUGACCCCUUGACCCCUGGGCCUGUGCCCAGUAGGCCUGUUCAGUAAUACAUCCAUGAGUUUUUACAAGUGGCUGACCCUGGCGUGUCACUGUGGAGAUGAAUUCCCUGGGUCGGAAACACAUCUGAAAUCUGAACAGAGGCAGAAAUAUAGAUGAAAUCUGA